CACCAUUAUACCGGUUCGCUCGUUUUAUUUUUGCCCAGCCCUAACAAACCCGAACGGCACAACUUCUUAUCCCCAUACCCGAACGGCGCCGUUGAGCUGUCCACACGAUCUGGCUAUGGCGACGGCGAUGGGAUUCUCUCGAGCUUCCCGGACCUACGGCGGGACGUGUGGCUGCGACAGUGGUCUGGCCACGUCGGCGAGGAGAGCGGCGCGAGUCUCCGCGGCGUGAAUCCUGCUCCCCGAUGUAUUCGCAAUCGGCUGGAAUCCAGAGAAGAAGGGCGCGAGCUCCGGGCGGUGCACAUGCGGGAGAGCCGCCGGAUACGAGGCAGGGACCGGCCGCGGCGGCGCUGGGUCUAGGUCGCUGGUGGAGGCCGUGUCAGGUGAGCCAUGGCGGUGGGGAGCGACAUAAGCUUGUACCAGAUCCCUACUACUACGAGUCCAAGACGUCGACACCAUGGGGGACGGGGAUGGAUGAUCUUGGCCAUAGAGAUGGGGUGGGCUCGGUGGAGCAUGGCCAUGGGGACAGAGACGUGUCUUACUGAGGAAACCCUCGAAAUUGCGAUGACGGGGAUGACGUUGAAGGCGUUGGCCGCCGCUAGACACAUGCCUGCAGCCCAUGACCGAAGGACUGCAAGCAUGCCAAGCUGGUGUUCGCGCCUCUUGUUGAUGCGACCAGUAUAUGGAUGUGGCAGCUCACCAAGGCGCCCAGCUCGUCAACCACUGGUACGAAUCAAUGGGCAUCAUCCCAAUUCAGAUUUCCUCCUGAGGACCUCAUUCCAGUUGAUGCAUACAAACGGAGAUUGUAGUGAUACAGGCUUAGAAUGCACGUGUGCAAAGAGCCUCCAUCUCGUCGAAGACCUGACCAUUCUCCUCCUUCAACCUCUUUUCACAAGAACAUGAUUCUGUUUGAGCUGCCGAAACAGUGGCAAUAUACCAAGAAUACUUAGAUUACUUGGAGAUCACAAGGAACAGAUUCGUAAUCAGGCAACAACCAUGUCCUAAUGAAGACUUGCAGAUCCAUCUGCCGGAUCAUUGCCUGGCGCAGUUCAAUUUCAUGCCAACAAGUAUGUUUCCUGUAAUUGGUUACUACAGUUCUUUUUGUGAGGAGGUGACAUAGGCUGCCAAUAAAUGAGAACAUUGAAGAUGAAUUCUAAGUUGGUGAGAGUUGGUCUGCCAUGUGUGAUAGCAUGGUGCGCCAUUCUAUUUAGGCCCUACUUUUGUUCUUUUUUAAUUCCUUAAUAUUUCCAUUGCUCUUUUUGCACGAUUUUUCUAAUCUUCCAGCAAUGUUGUUUUGUUGGUAAAAGUGGCAGAUAGGCUUGGUUUAGAAAAAUUAUAUGUAGCUCUGACCAGAAUAACAUGGCUUGCUUCUGGUGGUCCACAUCGCAUCCCAUAACCCUUUGAAGUUUGUUUGUCUUCUUCACAAAAAUUUCUAAUAUGAAUUUUGUUCUAGCAUAUUACCUGUACAUAUAUAGAUGCAAUUUGAAUUAUGGAUUGUUAGUGGAGGUUACUUGUUUUCUCUUAAGGUAUGAAUCCUUGGACUGAUGCUUGAAUCAUGUUUUAUUUUAUAAUGGGCAAACUAAGAAGGUGUAAUUUCCAAUAUCAGGUUUUGGUUAAGAAAUGACAAUUUUGUAGAAACAGUGUGGAGAUAACAUCUGGUUGAAACUUUGAUUAUAGUAAAAUUGAUUCUGUUAAGCUUCUGAUGUAUCGUGAAGUAUAUUGAUAAAAAUAACUGGUGUGCAAUUCCUACUGAAAUGAUUAUUUCAUGGACAUGCAUUGUCCUAACCAAAUAUCUAUUUUUAACAGCUGAAACCUUCGCUUAUGUACUUUUUUUCGCGGGUGGACAUAUACUUAAUUUGUGUACCUGUUAUUUGGUUUUUGCCAUUUAUGUACUGAUAAUUCUUUCGAACAUGAUGCGGAAAUUGUUUUUAGAUAACCUGUUAGGACUUAGUAACUUGCAGGGUCUAAAUCUGUUUACAGUACUUCUGCAGUAUUGAGAAUUUUUAGAUGCUUAUAAACUGAGCAGUGUUGUUUUUUGCUUACUGAAUUUUGUUGAAUAUUUGUUAAACCAAAUACAGGUUGAACCAGAUGGUACGACUUCCUCCUCCGUCAAGUUGAAGACGUGUAGCAGGGUGUCCUCAAGAUAUAUGUACCUCAAUGUUGACCCGGUAUAUUUCCACUUGAUUCAGUUUUAAGCUAGCCCUCUAAAUUUCCUCUCCAUGGUAUAUAAUUUAGAACUUCAAUGAAUGUUGUAAGUUUAAACAUAUCGUGUUGGGGCUCUGGGCAAGGCUAGGUCAUCGCCGAGUCCCGUCCGCCAUCUGGUAGUCUCUAACAUUCCCUGAGUCUGUCCAAAUAUCGAGUAGAUCUUGAGUUCCCCCGAGUGGCGUGUUCUGGUUUUGAUUUGGGGCAGACGAAUUUGGAGGUUAGGUCCAUGGUGUGUUAGUUUUUAUGUCGUUUCCAUUUCUACUAUGAUUUUCCUUACUCAUUUGUUUAUGUCGUUGCCAUGAAAGUACUAUGCAGAUGAUAGCUCAUAUUUUAAUCUAUCAGCAUAGGUAAACUGUUGCCAGUUUUCAAUUCCUUUUUUUUUCCUUUUCCUCAGGUUUGUUCCUACCCUACAAAAUAACCCACCUGCUUAGUCAUAUGCAUUUGAGAUGCUUCAUGGGGUGAUGGUAUACACCUCAGUUGCCGA